rnacentral:rRNA from 1 species
GAUGAACGCUGGCGGCGUGCUUAACACAUGCAAGUCGAACGGUGAAGGCGGAGCUUGCUCUGCUGGAUCAGUGGCGAACGGGUGAGUAACACGUGAGCAAUCUGCCCCUGACUCUGGGAUAAGCGCUGGAAACGGCGUCUAAUACUGGAUACGAGCUGCGAAGGCAUCUUCAGCAGCUGGAAAGAACUUCGGUCAGGGAUGAGCUCGCGGCCUAUCAGCUUGUUGGUGAGGUAACGGCUCACCAAGGCGUCGACGGGUAGCCGGCCUGAGAGGGUGACCGGCCACACUGGGACUGAGACACGGCCCAGACUCCUACGGGAGGCAGCAGUGGGGAAUAUUGCACAAUGGGCGAAAGCCGGAUGCAGCAACGCCGCGUGAGGGACGACGGCCUUCGGGUUGUAAACCUCUUUUAGCAGGGAAGAAGCGAAAGUGACGGUACCUGCAGAAAAAGCGCCGGCUAACUACGU